rnacentral:lncRNA from 1 species
AUGGAGAUAUAUGAGAGGAUCUUAUCACAACUGCCAUAUUUGGGGCAAUUGUUAGGACAUAGGUUACUAACGGAGUGGACCGAGUCUCAGCUAGAAUCUCAGGCAUAAUUCGCUCAAGAUGCUUCAUGUGCUAGUUGUUAGGCUUAUUCAAAAGGGGUUGAUCAAGCAGGGGCGGACCUUUAGUUACGUGGGGCGUAGCCCGGGCUACGGCUCAACUUUUUACUAGUAGUGUUAAUUUUUAUUUUUUUUCGAUUUUUAUACAUAGGACACCCCUGAACAAGUACGAGGACACCCCUCAAUUUUUUUUACAAAAUAAUAAGAUGUUGGUAAGCCCGAAUAAGUAAAUAAUAACACAUUAGGUAAGCCCAAAUAAGUAAAUAAUAACACAUUUGCUAAGCCCAAAUAAGUAAAUAAUAGCCCAAAAUUGAAUGAUUAUUGAUUUGGGCAAUUAGGCGGCAUGUUUAAUCACUGUUGGAUAUAGAACAGACGUGAACGAACAAAGAGCCAACAACAUUGAAUGAACAUCAGUGGCACUUCGGCAGAUCAUUGAACGAACAGACGUGAGAGACGUCGACUCCAAAAAACGAACGAACGGAAGUACAUAAUCGGCACUUGAACUUCGGCAGGAACACAUAUUUCUUGUCCUUUAGU